rfam:Oryza rufipogon genomic scaffold, chr11
UCCUAGAAAAACCAUAGUAUUGUUUAUGUUCAACGUUUGACCGUCCAUCUUAUUUAAUUUUUUUAUGAUUAGUAUUUUUAUUGUUAUUAAAUGAUAAAAUAUAAAUAAUACUUUAUGUGUGACUAAUUUUUUUUAUUUUUUUUUAUAAAUUUCUUAAAUGAGAUAAACGAUUAAAUAUUGAACACGAAAACUAACAACAUCUGCACUUAAA